GAUGAAGAACGCAGCGAAAUGCGAUACUUGGUGUGAAUUGCUGAAUCCCGUGAACCAUCAAGUUUUUGAACGCAAGUUGCGCCCGAAGCCAUUAGGCCGAGGGCACGCCUGCCUGGGUGUCACACAUUGUUGCCCCAAUGCCAAUCGCCUCACUUUGUAGGUAUUUGCUUGGGGUGAAUGUUGGCCUCCCGUGAGCUCUGUCUCACGGUUGGUUGAAAAUCGAGUGCAUGGUGUCGGGUGUACCAUGAUGGAUGGUGGUUGAGUGAUGCUCGAGGCCAAUCAUGGGUAACUCCACCAGAAUUGUGCUCGGUGACCCACAUCAAGUCAGGCGGGGCUACCCGCUGAGUUUAAGCAUAUCAAUAAGCGGAGGA
rnacentral:misc_RNA from 1 species